ensembl:snRNA U6 U6 spliceosomal RNA
GUGCUUUGGCAGCACAUGCACUAACAUUGGAACGAUACAUAGAAGAUUAGCAUGGCCCGUGUGCAAGGAUAAAUUUUUGAAGCAAUCAUAUUUUAA